GCCGAAGUGGCGGAAUUGGUAGACGCGCACGGUUGAGGGCCGUGUGGGGUAAAACCCGUGUCGGUUCGAGUCCGACCUUCGGCACCA
rnacentral:tRNA from 1 species